CUUGCAGAAAUCUUCCUUGAAAACGAUUCCAAGAUUCUUACAUGCUGAACAGUUCUUGGUUUUUUUCCAGAUGGCGUCUCGGUGGUGUCUCAUAACAAACUGCAUGAUGACCUGUCUGUGUCUGCCCUCCUCCUUUCUCCCCAACCGAUGAACCGAAUCCACCAUAAUGUCCAUCCUCUCUUUCCACUCCGGAGCGAUCUUGGACAGGAUACUGAUGAUGACAUCUCGGAUGUUCUCGUCGUCUUUUUCUUUUAAUCCUUGAAUUUUUAGGUUCCAUCGCCGUUUGUAGCGUUCUAUUUCAGCUACUUUUUCUUUCAGCUCUUUGUUUUCUUUAACAAGUUGUGGAACUUCUUUUUCCAUUUCUUUAAUUUUUACCUUGCAUUCUUUAAUCUCAGCUGCAUUCAUUUCCACAAGUCGAGAGAUAUUUGCUACCAUGACGGAGUUUUCUUUUAGCUGGUGACCAAAGUCCUCAAUUUUGCAGGUUAAUUUUUCAAUAGCGGUGAUUAGUGCUUCAUUCUGAGGGACUGCAGGCUCUUGAACAGGUUUCAUCUUUUGUGGCGGAGCAGAAGCUUUAGUAGGAGUACUCGGAGCAGGUUUCCUUUUCAUGUUGCUGCUUACCUCCAUCUGGGUGUAGUCGUGGUCACAGGUGUUUGUUUGUAGCGCUGUAGCUAGCUUAGCAUCGGCUUUUUUCAUUCUUAGACAAUGUUGUCUCGGCACACUGAGAGGUUUGAUAUUACUAAAAGUAUUCAAAUCGAAUAUGUCUUCAAUGGGGAUAAGUAUAUCAGUCCCAAAAUAUAUAUAUUCUUUUCACAAUCCGGGGCGAGGUUGGGCGAGCUUAGGUAAAGCGUGUCGCUCUUACCGCCAUGCCAGCGGAAGUCCAAGAAAGUUUCCUUUUGUGAUGCCAGCAGAACGUGUGUUUAUCACUAUUCUGUUCCUCAGUUCAACACGUG
rnacentral:lncRNA from 1 species